UCUGUUCUCUUUAGGUGACUCUUCCCUCUAUGAAACAAUCCAACUCAGCAGAACUUCAGGAAACGUUUCAGCAGAGAGGAUUCAUCAUCCAGCAGAAGAUUCUGACUAUGCUAAUGUUGACCAAGG